rnacentral:rRNA from 1 species
UGGGGAAUAUUGCACAAUGGGGGAAACCCUGAUGCAGCGACGCCGCGUGAGCGAAGAAGGCCUUCGGGUCGUAAAGCUCUUUUAUGAGGGAAGAUAAUGACGGUACCUCAAGAAAAAGCCCCGGCUACCUACGUGCCAGCAGCCGCGGUAAUACGUAGGGGGCUAGCGUUGUCCGGAAUCACUGGGCGUAAAGGGUUCGCAGGCGGAAUAACAAGUCAGAUGUGAAAGGCAUGGGCUCAACCCAUGUAAGCAUUUGAAACUGUAAUUCUUGAGAAGUGGAGAGGUAAGUGGAAUGCCGAGUGGAGCGGUGAAAUGCGUAGAUAGUAGGAGGAAUACCUGUGGGGAAGGCGACUUACUGGACACAAAUCUGACGCUGAGGAACGAAAGCGUGGGUAGCAAACAGG